GUGCUCACUUCGGCAGCACAUAUACUAAAAUUGGAACAGAGAAGAUUUGCAUGUCCCCUGUGAAAGGAUGGCACGUAAAUUCAUGACGCGUUCCAUAUUUUU
rnacentral:snRNA from 1 species